rnacentral:tRNA from 1 species
GGCCGGUUAGCUCAGUUGGUUAGAGCGUGGUGCUGAUAACACCAAGGUCGUGGGUUCAAUCCUUGUUCGGUCC